rnacentral:rRNA from 1 species
UACGUAGGGGGCAAGCGUUGUUCGGAAUGACUGGGCGUAAAGGGUGCGUAGGCGGUGUAGCAAGUUAGAAGUGAAAUACCUAGAGCUUAACUCAGGUGCUGCUUCUAAAACUGCUAUACUUGAGUGCAGUAGAGGAAAGUGGAAUUCCUAGUGUAGCGGUGGAAUGCGUAGAUAUUAGGAGGAACAUCAGUGGCGAAGGCGACUUUCUGGACUGUAACUGACGCUGAGGCACGAAAGUGUGGGGAGCAUACAGG